rnacentral:rRNA from 1 species
UACGAAGGGGGCUAGCGUUGUUCGGAAUUACUGGGCGUAAAGCGCACGUAGGCGGAUUGUUAAGUCGGGGGUGAAAUCCCGGAGCUCAACUCCGGAACUGCCUUCGAUACUGACGAUCUUGAGUCCGGGAGAGGUGAGUGGAACUGCGAGUGUAGAGGUGAAAUUCGUAGAUAUUCGCAAGAACACCAGUGGCGAAGGCGGCUCACUGGCCCGGUACUGACGCUGAGGUGCGAAAGCGUGGGGAGCAAACAGG